UGGGGAAUUUUGGACAAUGGGCGAAAGCCUGAUCCAGCAAUGCCGCGUGUGUGAAGAAGGCCUUCGGGUUGUAAAGCACUUUUGUCCGGAAAGAAAUCCUUGGCUCUAAUACAGUCGGGGGAUGACGGUACCGGAAGAAUAAGCACCGGCUAACUACGUGCCAGCAGCCGCGGUAAUACGUAGGGUGCAAGCGUUAAUCGGAAUUACUGGGCGUAAAGCGUGCGCAGGCGGUUUGCUAAGACCGAUGUGAAAUCCCCGGGCUCAACCUGGGAACUGCAUUGGUGACUGGCAGGCUAGAGUAUGGCAGAGGGGGGUAGAAUUCCACGUGUAGCAGUGAAAUGCGUAGAGAUGUGGAGGAAUACCGAUGGCGAAGGCAGCCCCCUGGGCCAAUACUGACGCUCAUGCACGAAAGCGUGGGGAGCAAACAGGAUUAGAUACCCUGGUAGUCCACGCCCUAAACGAUGUCAACUAGUUGUUGGGGAUUCAUUUCCUUAGUAACGUAGCUAAUGCGUGAAGUUGACCGCCUGGGGAGUACGGUCGCAAGAUUAAAACUCAAAUGAAUUGACGGGGUCAUAGCUGUUUCCU
rnacentral:rRNA from 1 species